rnacentral:lncRNA from 1 species
GCCGAGCUGGCUGACAGAACAGAGUAGCAGCAUAGCUUGCUUUGAGCACCCAGUCACCCUACGGCUGGAGCAGAAAGGCUGUAACAGCAGGGAAGACGUGAGCAGAACAUUACUCAGCUGUCAGGAUACAGGACUGUGCUGCUGAGGAAAGUACAAGUGAAUAUAUUCUGCAAAACUGCAAAUCCAGCACAAAGGCUUUAUUUAUUUUUUCCAGAGGAGGGAGACGGAGGCCUGAAGCCAUGAUUUUGUCUUCAUUCUGCGUGCAACAUAUCUCAAGGACAGAGCACUGGACUGUAAACAAAAGGGACAGCUGUAAGGUCAUGAACAUUCCUGGAAGC